rnacentral:rRNA from 1 species
CUACGGGCGGCAGCAGUGGGGAAUAUUGCACAAUGGGCGCAAGCCUGAUGCGGCCAUGCCGCGUGUGUGAAGAAGGCCUUCGGGUUGUAAAGCACUUUCAGCGGGGAGGAAGGCGUUAAGGUUAAUAACCUUGGCGAUUGACGUUACCCGCAGAAGAAGCACCGGCUAACUCCGUGCCAGCAGCCGCGGUAAUACGGAGGGUGCAAGCGUUAAUCGGAAUUACUGGGCGUAAAGCGCACGCAGGCGGUCUGUCAAGUCGGAUGUGAAAUCCCCGGGCUCAACCUGGGAACUGCAUUCGAAACUGGCAGGCUAGAGUCUUGUAGAGGGGGGUAGAAUUCCAGGUGUAGCGGUGAAAUGCGUAGAGAUCUGGAGGAAUACCGGUGGCGAAGGCGGCCCCCUGGACAAAGACUGACGCUCAGGUGCGAAAGCGUGGGGAGCAAACAGGAUUAGAUACCCCUGUAGUC